rnacentral:rRNA from 1 species
UCUGAAUGUUGACCUCGGAUCAGGUAGGAAUACCCGCUGAACUUAAGCAUUCUAGACGCGGGGAAGGAAAA